AACGCACAUUGCGCCUCUCGGUAUUCCGGGAGGCACGCCUGUUCGAGCGCCAUUACACACUCCAAGCUUUGCUUGAUGUUGGACGAUGCGGGACCCCGCUCCGGGGUGACCGCCCGUCUGGAACGUGUGGGCGUCCGCCGGCGGGCCAGGAGCGUAGCAAGACUAUCUAGUCAUUUCGCUCUGUUGGGCUCCGACGGUGGGCAGCCGAAGUAGACUUCUUGAAGUCAAAUCAAAGUUUGGCCUCGGAUCAGGCGGGGAUACCCGCUGAACUUAA
rnacentral:misc_RNA from 1 species